ACUCACUGAAGAAACUGAAAUUGCACUUUAAGAUUUAAGGGAAAUGUUAAACAGGAACGAUUUUCUAAAAACAAGGUUACUCAAGGUCUUAGGCAAUGUCUUAACUACAAUUCCAGUUUUUCUCUCUCUGAGAAUGGAUUGCUUUGGCUGGGGAUUACUCACGGUGAACUUGCUUUGCGGGGAGAGUUGCCGACUGUCUUAAUUACAUUUUGGAAAACACAACAACUUGGGGUUAAACUGGAGAAGUUAAUGAUGAAUGC
rnacentral:lncRNA from 1 species